UCAGCUAUGAGGGAGACACAGACGGUAGCAGCAGCAAACCCACCACCCCCACUAAACAGGUACUGUAGUACACAGUUACCACACAUACUGUACACACAACUCAGUCACGCCAUCAAUGACCUGCCACUUCAUAGGUAUUAGGUUCAAAAUAUCCUCUUUCACUAAACCCACACGACUCAAGCUCCGGUUUAAAAUUAGCCUUAGCAAGUGAGCUGUUUCAGUUACACACUUGUAUACGAUCUUCCGUUUCCCUUCCACAUCAAUUAGCUUAUGUGGUAAUGAUCUUGUUUUUGACUAAAGACUAGGUCUCUGUUGCGUAGCUAUACUUAAAGCAUGGGAGUUAUCACCCAGCGGUUCAGGCGCUCUACAAUAUUUAGGGUUAUUCAACCCCCCCCCCCGAUAUCUCUGUAAUCCACUGCAGAGACAGAAGAAGAAGGUUGCUGCCUCAUCAUCCAAUGGACUGAAAACCAACGGCUCUGCUGUGAAGGUCUGCAACUCACUCAGUCCCCCCACUUCACAGGUGGCAAACUCUCCAGGCAGUCGAGUGCAAAUCGUCUCAGCCCACAGGACAAGAGUGAGACCCACCCAACCUCUUCCCCAGUGGGGCCAGCUUCCAAACCAGCGGCCGGUCCAGGGAAGGCAGAGGCCCACAAAGACCUAGCAACGAUUUCACUGUAAAGCACCUGAUUCCUGUUGUUCAAACUAUCCCUGUUGCGUCUCUACUGACCUCUUUACUGGUUACCUGUCGUUUCUGUUAUGCUUAGUUACAUACUUUGUCUGCAUUUUCCAUAUCAAACUCACUGACAGUCUGAGUCGUUUCAAAAUACACUCAUUAAAAAGUAGAUGGGAAAACUCAAAGGGAGUGUUCAUCUCUCUUAUUUAUUCCGUUGGGUUUAAUUCAUGAUUUAUUAGUGGUUCACUGGGUUGUGAAGCUGUUAGUGUUUUCUAUGCACUGUAAAAAUAUACUUUUCUAUUUCUUUCAGUAUCCUAACGGGCAAAUUUGGUAUGAAAGAUCUUCAAAGUGCUUUGUUUUUCCCCACAAAUGUCAUUAACAUAAAACUAGUCCAACAUUCAUUAGUAGUCAGUGGCGACCAGGGGCGCAAGCUUGUCUGCUGUUUAUCAUUUUCAUUGAGCUGUUCUUAGGAUGAUUUAAGGAUGAUUGCCAAGCAUUAUGAGAAGAAACUAAUGUACAGAAACUCCAUUAUUUUGUGUUCAAUAAACAUAAUCAGAAAUUAUAUAUUUUUUGUUCUGAUUUUGUGAUAACUUUUCUGUUAUUCUGUUUUGACCUCACACUUUCUAAAGUCUCAGAAGAAUGCAGUUGACCCUCUUGGUGUCUAUACAGACCGCCAGUGGCACACAGGCUGGUUACACACCAUCAGAAUGCAGUUGACCCUCUUGGUGUCUAUACAGACCGCCAGUGGCACACAGGCUGGUUACACGCCAUCAGAAUGCAGUUGACCCUCUUGGUGUCUAUA
rnacentral:lncRNA from 13 species